rnacentral:rRNA from 1 species
UACAGAGGGGCAAGCGUUGUUCGGAAUUACUGGGCGUAAAGGGCGCGUAGGUCGGCCUGUUAAGUUGAACGUGAAAAUCCCUGGGCUCAACCCAGGAACUGCGUCCGAUACUUGGACAGGGCUUGUAAUCCGGGAGAGGGAUGUGGAAUUCCGUGGUGUGAGCGGUGAAAUGCGCAGAGUAUACAGGAGGAACACCAAUGGCGAAGGCAGCUCGCUGGGACGUGACUGACGCUGAGACGCGAAGCGUGGGAGC